GACCAGCUUGGGAAAGUAGGACAGGCCCUUUACUCCAACACUUUGUGCCCAUCUUUAGCAAAUCUCAACCAUGUUGUUCUUUCUUAAACUAUUAUUUUACUCAGAAGAUGGUGAUGGUCAACAAAAAUAUGAAACUGGUGGAUGUUCCCUUAGUAAUGAGCGAUCUCUGGGAUCAGAAUGAUAUUUAAUAUUGCACUGAGCACUGGUCUAAUUUUGUAAUACAUAAUUUUGGAAUAUCUCCCACUAUUGAAAGGAUCUGUAAGAGGCACUGACUUAAAAAGGUAGCCAAUACCAUCUAAUGAUCUGUGGUGGAGUUGCUGCCUUACAGCACCAGAGACCCAGGUUUGACCCUGACUAUGGGUGCUGUCUGUACGGAGUUUGUACGUACUCCCUAGCAUAUUUACCCCUAACUAUAAGUAUCCAAGGUGGUGGACUGUACCUCUCUGUGUCUUUCUCUGUCUCUCUCUCAAUCUGAUCAUCAACUCCCAAGUUGCUGUGCAUGGAAAUGGAAGCCAUCUUUUAUUGAAGCCACACUUCCAAUGUAUUGAAACAAAAGAAGCCACCAAAGUGGCCAUAUUUUCAGACCAAAAAAAUGUCUCAAAGUGCCGGUGUGAAUAGAAAGGAGAGACACAAGGAGCUGUGGAUGCUGGAAUCCUGAGCAAAGCACAAAGUUCUGGGGUAACUCAACGGGUCAGGCAGCAUCUGUGAAGGGAAUGGACAGGCAAUGUUUUGGAUCGGGGAACCCUUUUUCAGGCUCUUAGAAGGAAACGUACAGGUGACGUUUUGGAUCAGGACCUUUCUUCAGACUCCAACUGACCUCAUACAUCUCCUGUCCUUUCACACCACCAGAUGCUGCUUGACCUGAUGAGUUACUCCAGCACUUUGUGUUUUGGGUGUGAAUAUAAAGAAGCCACCUGCUUUGAUUUAAAUAGUCUGCGGUCUAAAUAGACAGCUGAAGACUUCUCUGAACAACUAUCAUGCCUAAAAUCAGACAUCGAAGCUGGUCGGCUUUAAAGUUUUUGUGUUGAGUCAUUGAAGACACUCGGGUUACAACAAGGCAGCCAAACUAUUCAUACACUGGGACCACUGAAAAACUCAAGGGAGGUGACAGGUCAACUAUAAAUUAAAAGUGAAAACUAUUUUAAUAUUUGGGUGGUAAUUGUUUAAACCUAGGCUAUUACCAGCUGUGUAAUUGAACCUUUCAUCCCAUUGGAGUUUUCCUACCUAAUGUACUUGGAGUCCAUGGAGAUUUUUGCCCGGAUAGUAUCACAUCAUUGUUGCCCCGCUCCCUGCCAUGGAUGCCCUCCACCAAAAACGGUGUCUGAGACGGGCCGGGAAAAUCAUCAAGGACCCCUCUCACCCUAACCAUGGACUAUUUGCCCUCCUCCCAUCAGGGAGGCGGUACAGGAGCCUCAGGUCUCGCACAAGCAGGCUGAGGAACAGCUUUUUCAACAACACCAUUACACUGCUGAACUCACAGUCCCGUCGCUAGCUAUCUUUAGACUCUCCCAUUUGUAAACAGUUAUUUGCCUAUGUACCAGUUUAAUUCAUCCACAAUCCGCACAUUGUUAACCAGUAUUUUUUAUUUUUAUUGUAUGCUUAUUUUGUAUUUUUAUUUUUACUUCUACUAUCUUGCACUAUGACUAUGACCAGACGCUAAACUGCAUUUCGUUGUACCUAUACUCGUAUUUGUGCAAUGACAAUAAAGUUGAAUUGAAUUGAAUUGAAUUGGAGAAUAGAUGGAUAUAUAUUUAUGAUUGGAGAUUACUAAAGUGGGAUUUUAAUCUGAUUUAUUUCAGGGCAGUACGGUGGCGCAGUGGUAGAGUUGCUGCCUCACAGCACCAAAGAUCCAGGUUCAACCUGACUACGGGUACUGUCUGUACGUUCUCCCCAUGACCGCGUGGGUUUUCUCCGGUUUCCUCCAACACUAUGAAGGCGUACAGUGAAUCCUGGUUGAAAGGUGGGCAGAUUUGCAAGUGGAGCCAUGAAUCGGAGAACUGCGAUCUAAUGUUGAAAAGUUGACAAUUUCCCCUCGUUCAAUGCUACAACUGAUGACCCAAGGGAGAUAAGAAAACCACGUGUUUGGAAUCCUUCACAGAACCGGGACCAACAGCGAAUGUCGGGAAAGCGGGCCUUCACGGAACACAUUUAAAUGUGUUUAUUUGCAGGAUGCUACCUGACCACUGCCAUCCACCAGCAAUUGAAGAUUUUGAGACGUCCGCACCCUUUGGCCAAAUUUUACCGACUCUGCAUGAUUUGUGUGGAAUGCGUUCCCACCGAAGGUUGUGGAGGCCAAUCUGGAGGCCAGAACCAGGGUCGGCAUCAGAUGAUCUCAGGGUCAUACAGCAUGGAAAAAAACAAGCACUUUUGAUCACCGAGUCUGUGCCAAUUAUAUCAAGCGCCCAUUUAUACUGAUCCUCAGUUUGGAGUUUAGAGAUACAGCGUGGAAACUGGUCUGCGAUCGCCCUUUACACUCCAGGGCCUGUCCCACUUAGGCGACUUUUCAGCGGACUGCCUGCGACCUUCAAGCACGAGGAACUCGCCUGAAAAAAAACGCAAACUGGAACUGCGACCAUCAGAGCGGAACACACACACACGCACCGCAAAGGCGGGGGCCAGGGAAAGCGGGGGAGCACUGUCUGAAAUUCACACAGUGCAAAACCAAAGUGAUACAGACACACACUGCGAUGAACAGCAAGGCUAAGACGGCUAGCACAGUGUACGCGAGUUACAUCUUCCUGAACCUGCUUUUUCAAUUUAGUCGGACAAGUUUCCUUCUCCCCUGACUCUCCGUCUGAAGAAGGGUCUCGACCCGGAACGUCACCUAUUCCUUUUCUCCAGAGAUGCUGCCUGACCCGCUGAGUUACUCCUGCAUUUUGUGUCUAUCUUCGGUGUAAACCAGCAUCUGCAGUUCCUUCGUACAUAUUGAAAGGUAACUGCAUCCGGUUUAACAUGGUUUGUGAUGAGGAGGAUAGUUGAAUACUUUUGCAACGGAAACAAUUCUGCAAAUGCAAAUAUUGAUUCUUAAAAGCAGUCUGAUGUCGUUCAGUUAGUUCAGAGAUCGCGAAAACAGGCCCUUCGGCCCAUCAAGUCCGCGUCGACCAGCGAUCCCCGCACACUAACGCUAUCCUACACACACUAGGGACAAUUUACAAAUAUACCAAGCCUAUUGUCCUACAAAUCUCUUCGCAUUUGGAGUGUGGGAGGAAUCCAAAAGUCCUGGAGAAAACCCACGCAGGUAACGGGGAGAACGUGCAAAACUCCGCGCAGACAGCACCCGUAGUCAGGAUCAUACCCGGGCCUCUGGCGCUGUGAGGCAGUAGCUCUACCGCUGCGCCACUGUGCCAUUUAAGUAGUUCACCCGUGCUUUUGGUGCCUUAUAAAGUAUAGAAUGCCCUAAAAUUGCUCUGCGCAAUUUAACUCCACACCAGUGACGGGGAAAAUGGGAUUGUCUUUAGUGAAGCGUGCAAAGAAAAAUUGUGUUGAUGAAUGAAAGCAGAAACUAUUGAAAGCAAUAUUGAAGAAUGGCUUUAUACACGAUUUGAACAGAAAUAAUAAUGUUAUGGCUAUGAAAGAUGACGUUAACACUUAGGGAACACAUUUCUAAUAGAUCAUUUUUCUUUAAAUUGGAGAUCAAAAAUCAUUUUGGCAGCUCAAAAUUGAAUUUGCAGUAAAAGGAUUGGCAGAGGAUUGAAAAAACUAUUUCAUGGCUUGCCAUUCAGUGAAUCUAAUGGACAUGCAUGAAUCCUCUUACUAACAAACAUGAGUGACAACUAAAAGGUUUUGGAAAUACGGCAUGAAAUGGUUCAGAUUUCACUAAUAUUUUGGUGUUUGGAAAGCACAUUUAAAAUUGAUGGCGACUUUUUUCAUCUUCCGAAAGGAAGCAUUUUGUUCUUUGAUUUCUGAAUGUCAAACUUGGCGGUGGAUCCUGAGGUAAUGUGGUUGUUGGGAGCCACGUCGCUAAUGGUUGAUGCAUCUGGACGGAAGUUAAAUCACCUGGACAGAAGUAGUUUGACUGCAUCAAAUGGAAAUCAUUUCCCAAAAGAACACUUGGUGUUUAUCCUUCAGAGCAGUGUUAAAUUGUUUAUUUGAACCUCACGGAUAUUGACUGAAGACAGACACAAAAUGCUGGAGUAACUCAGCGGGUCAGACAACAUCUCUGGAGAAAAGGAAUAGGCGACGUUUUGGUUUGAGACCCUUCUUCAGAACCUCUAACUCUCGACUCUCGUCAGCAGCGGCCUCUGCAGCCCGUCCGCGUUUUUAUUAUUUUUUGUCUAUGUUUCUAUGUAGUUUUUGUUAUUUUUUGUUGGGGUGUGU